rnacentral:lncRNA from 1 species
UCUGUGAUGUUUCAAGUUUUAUUUGGAUGAGACCUUUUGUUUCCGAGGUCUGUGGAUAAAAUUUUUAAGUCGUGAACUCGCGCCUUGAUGUUUUAGGGCUGUGUCCCUGAAAAGACUUUCCGGUUGAGGGGCAUUGCAUACAAUUGUGUAGAAUAGGUAGAAAAAAAAAUGGUCAUUGCUUUCUGUAAACUUUUUUAAUAUAGUCAACAUUUCUCAGAUGUCUCUCCAUCCUAUUUUCUUCUUAGAAGUACACUUUUUACUGGAUUUAGAACCUAGUAGACCAGACUGUAAAUCUGGAGGUGGUAAACUGGAUAGGAAGACUGACAGGACCUUAGAAGGAUUCACAAAAACCUUUGCCACGUGUAGUGCCUCAGCCUUCGUUACAGUAACUCUUUCUGGGCCAGGUAUCCAGCAGUUUUUGAUGCCUUUCUCUCUGCUCCUAACUUGUAUCCAAUACAACUGUUUGUCCCUUAGACAGCUUGCCUUUGGGAUAAAAUGUUGGUCCUAUGGUGCAAAGAAAUUCACCCUUACUGGGCAUGACUCCAAGCCCAGAAUUGCUCUCACCUAAGCACUGGCCUAAACAGUAGUGCAGUUCACUCCCCACUGGACCACUGACUUGUCUGGAAGGGCUUUACAUUUUUUAAAAAAGUUUUUGGUAAACAGUAUUGUGUAAAAUAGAAUUUUUUAAAUACUGAUAUAUGCAUGUUUUGUGCAUGAGUAGUAGUUAUUUGGAUUCCUGUUUUGAUAUUCCUGUUGUUGAAUUACUGUAUAAUAUAAACAGUAUGUGUUUUAUAUAUAUCAUUGUGUAAAUUUAAUAUAACACAUUAUAUGCUGUACUAAAUGAUUUGUUUUAUUGCUGUUAACUUUGUUAUUUGUUAUAAAAACCAGAUGUUUACACUUAUAAAUCUUGUGCUGGCUGUUGGUGUUAUUUUUGAAAUUUACAUUAGACUUGUUCUAGAGUAGAAUAUGAUUUGUUAUAGUUAAAUAGGUUUUAGCUCAGGUUAAUGAAUCGGGAAAACUUUUCAAAAAUU